GACGAACGCUGGCGGCGUGCCUAACACAUGCAAGUCGAGCGGGGUCCAUCCGGUAGCAAUACCGGGGAAGACCUAGCGGCGAACGGGUGAGUAACACGUGAGAAACCUGCCCCGAAGUCUGGGAUAACCCGAGGAAACUCGAGCUAAUACCGGAUGUCUUCUUCUGAUCGCAUGGUCGGAUGAAGAAAAGAUUUAUCGCUUCGGGAGGGUCUCGCGGCCUAUCAGCUAGUUGGCGGGGUAACGGCCCACCAAGGCGUCGACGGGUAGCUGGUCUGAGAGGACGAUCAGCCACACUGGGACUGAGACACGGCCCAGACUCCUACGGGAGGCAGCAGUGGGGAAUAUUGUGCAAUGGGCGAAAGCCUGACGCAGCAACGCCGCGUGCGGGAUGAAGGCCUCGGUUGUAA
rnacentral:rRNA from 1 species